rnacentral:rRNA from 1 species
UACGGGGGGGGCGAGCGUUGUUCGGAAUCACUGGGCGUAAAGGGCGCGUAGGCGGCCCGCACAAGUCUGCGGUGAAAACCCCCGGCUUAACCGGGGGCCGGCCGUGGAAACUGUCGGGCUGGAGGCUGGGAGAGGGCAGCGGAAUUCCCGGUGUAGCGGUGAAAUGCGUAGAUAUCGAGAGGAACACCUGCGGCGAAGGCGGGUUGCUGGGCUGACACUGACGCUGAAGUGCGAAAGCUAGGGGAGCGAACGGG